GGGUCAGUAGGUUGGUCGUGCCACCGGUACGUACUGGUCCCACUGAUUCCUCCUUCCUGAAGAACCGUAAUGCCAUUAAUUUGGUGUUGCGGGGAAACAGGACUGUUACUUUGAAAAAAUUAGAGUGUUUAAAGCAAGCUAACGCUUGAAUACAAUAGCAUGGAAUAAUGAAAUAGGACGAUCGAUCCUAUUUUGUUGGUUUCUAGGAUUGACGUA
rnacentral:rRNA from 1 species